rnacentral:rRNA from 1 species
GACGAACGCUGGCGGCGUGCUUAACACAUGCAGGUCGAACGGAAAGGCCCUGCUUUUGUGGGGUGCUCGAGUGGCGAACGGGUGAGUAACACGUGAGUAACCUGCCCUUGACUUUGGGAUAACUUCAGGAAACUGGGGCUAAUACCGGAUAGGAGCUCCUGCUGCAUGGUGGGGGUUGGAAAGUUUCGGCGGUUGGGUAUGGACUCGCGGCUUAUCAGCUUGUUGGUGGGGUAGUGGCUUACCAAGGCUUUGACGGGUAGCCGGCCUGAGAGGGUGACCGGCCACAUUGGGACUGAGAUACGGCCCAGACUCCUACGGGAGGCAGCAGUGGGGAAUAUUGCACAAUGGGCGGAAGCCUGAUGCAGCAACGCCGCGUGCGGGAUGACGGCCUUCGGGUUGUAAACCGCUUUCGCCUGUGACGAAGCGUGAGUGACGGUAAUGGGUAAAGAAGCACCGGCUAACUACGUG